rnacentral:tRNA from 1 species
GCCCCUGUAGCUCAGAUGGAUAGAGCGGCGGCGUCCUAAGCCGCGCGUCGGGCGUUCGAAUCGCCCCAGGGGUACCA